GAUGAACGCUGGCGGCGUGCCUAAUACAUGCAAGUCGAGCGAACAGACGAGGAGCUUGCUCCUCUGACGUUAGCGGCGGACGGGUGAGUAACACGUGGAUAACCUACCUAUAAGACUGGGAUAACUUCGGGAAACCGGAGCUAAUACCGGAUAAUAUAUUGAACCGCAUGGUUCAAUAGUGAAAGACGGUUGUGCUGUCACUUAUAGAUGGAUCCGCGCCGAAUUAGCUAGUUGGUAAGGUAACGGCUUACCAAGGCAACGAUGCGUAGCCGACCUGAGAGGGUGAUAGGCCACACGGGAACUGAGACAGGGUCCAGACUCCUACGGGAGGCAGCAGUAGGGAAUCUUCCGCAAUGGGGGAAAGCCUGACGGAGCAACGCGGCGUGAGUGAUGAAGGUCUUCGGAUCGUAAAGCUCUGUUAUUAGGGAAGAACAAAUGUGUAAGUAACUAUGCACGUCUUGACGGUACCUGAACAGAAAGCCACGGCUAACUACGUG
rnacentral:rRNA from 1 species